rnacentral:rRNA from 1 species
AAUGAACGCUGGCGGCAUGCCUAACACAUGCAAGUCGAACGAACACAUGAGUUCCUUUCUCCUCUGACGUUAACCGCGGACGUAAUAGUACCACAUGUAUCACCUCCCUAUAGGACUGGGGUAACUUCGUUUGAUCGUAGCUAAUACCGUCUACUAUAUAGAACCGCAUGUUUCCAUAGUUCGCGCCGGUUUUGCUGCCGCUUAUAGAUUAAUCCGCGCCGCAUUAGCUAGUUGGUCAGGUAACGGCUUACCAAGUCGACGAUGGGUAGCCGAUCUGAGAGGAUGAUCAGCCACACUGGAACUGAGACACGGCCCAGACUCCUACGGGAGGCAGCAGUAGGGAAUCUUGCGCAAUGGGCGAAAGCCUGAUGGAGCAACGCCGCGUGAAUGAUGAAGGUCUUCGGAUUGUAAAACGCUGUUGUAAGGAACGAAAAAACGCGUUCUUAAAAAGACAGGUCAUGACGGUACCGAAAGAAUAAGCACCGGCUAACUACGUG